rnacentral:rRNA from 1 species
AUUGAACGCUGGCGGCACGCCUAACACAUGCAAGUCGAGCGGUAGCAGGACCUGUAGCAAUACAGGUUGCUGACGAGCGGCGGACGGGUGAGGAAUACGUAGGAACCUGCCUUAUAGUGGGGGAUAACUAAGGGAAACUUUAGCUAAUACCGCAUAAUCUCGAGAGAGGAAAGCUGCCGCAAGGUGGCGCUAAAAGAGGGGCCUGCGUCCGAUUAGCUAGUUGGUGAGGUAAGAGCUCACCAAGGCGAUGAUCGGUAACUGGUCUGAGAGGACGACCAGUCACACUGGGACUGAGACACGGCCCAGACUCCUACGGGAGGCAGCAGUGGGGAAUAUUGGACAAUGGGGGCAACCCUGAUCCAGCGAUGCCGCGUGAGUGAAGAAGGCCUUCGGGUCGUAAAGCUCUUUAGGUUGGGAAGAAGGGUGUUAGAGGAAAUGCUAAUACUUUGACGGUACCGACAGAAUAAGCACCGGCAAACUCUGUGCCAGCCGCCGCCGUAA